rnacentral:rRNA from 1 species
AUGACAGUGGCAGGAGACACUUGGACGUCACAAGGCAAAGAUGCAGAUGAUGCUGACUAUGGAGACUUUGCUCUCUGGGCCUCCAUUGAUGAAGGUAAUCUGGAUAAGGCAUCUCUUGCUUCUAAUGAGAGUGCUCCAGAGUGGGUUCUUCACUCUGGAGCAUCUAAGCAUGUUGCUAGUAAUUCCUGCAUGUUUGAGUCUUACCAUAAGCACCCUCCGCCUCACACGGGCACAAUGCAAACUGCUGAUGGCACAAACCAGCCUGUCAUAGGGGUUGGCACAGUCAAGUGCACUCCGACCAUCUCCCUAUCCUCAGUGUUACAUGUGCCAGCUUUUCCUGUCUAUUUGGUCUCUUUCAAUGCUCUAAUUGAUCAAAUUGACUGUCGUGUGACCCUUGACAAAUUCGGUUGCAUGAUUCAGGAGCAACGGACGAGCCAGACGGUUGGGACUAGCACCAGGCGAAGGGGGCUCUGGUACAGCCGGACUUGGUGUGUGCUACGACCAUGGAGGACAAGGAGAAGGAGGCGAUGA